CGCGCUCUGACUUUUGCUACACAUCUCCCGCUAUCUCUGUAGCAGAACUCAUCUGUGCACUUGCAAAUGCAGAUGCGCGAGCAGCGCGGGGCGGGGCAGGUGUAAAGCUGUUUGAUUGGCUGAUGCCUGACCAAUGAACAAUGCCAGCAGCCAACAGGACUGAGGUGCAAAAGAAUCAUUUCCCACGAUUAUUUUAUUAUUUAGGGUUUAUUUCAAUUCUUUUCUGAAGAGAUUCUUGUUAAAAAUCAUUAAUCUGCGGAAAUGUACAUACCAGUAAAAGAGCAGCAAAGCCAGUUUAUUGGCUAGAGCCAGCCAAUAAGAUGGGGCGUUUCUGUUUGUCAGGACACAGGGCAGCUCACGUUGUUGGAGGCCUCGAGCAAUCAGAGGGUCCACAACUUGCAUCCUUCAACAUGAUGUGUGUUCAAAGGAAGAGCAACUAGUUUCCUGUAAGGAUGGAGUGACAGGAGAGAUCAGCCUGUUUCAAGUCGAUGACUAACUCAGAGAAGCUGCAUAGCUUGAAUAGGAUGUUGUUUAUGCUAAAGAUGACAUGAUGAUCUAGCUCAUCUACAAACACUUCAAAAUGAUUCAGAUCAUUCAAGAGGAAGCCAACCAUUUAUUUUCUCUUUUUACCUGCCAAGAUGACUACAGAUUUGAACAAAACACACACUCACCCACACACACACAACUUUUAUUUUGAUAAUUGUUUAAUGUAGUAUUUUUACACUUUACUGUAAGGCAGGGGUGUCAAACUCACUUCCUGGAGGGCCGUAAGCCUGCAUGUUUUUAGUUUCAACCCUGCUUCUACACACUUAAGUGAAAGUUUCAAACAAACCUGAAGGACUCAAUUAGUUUGAUCAGGUGUGUUUAAUUAGGGUUAGAACUAAACUUUGCAUAGCUGCAGCCCUCCAGGAACUGAGUUUGACACCUGUGCUGUAAGGGAAAUGUUUAACAUUAAUUUGUCAAAUAAAAUUUACAGUGCAAAUAAGUGCAGUGCAAAUAUCUAGUUACUUGUAUUUAAAUAUUUCAGGGUUUUUCCUUGUUCAUAAUGAGAUGGAGGUGGUAAAUCCAACUUCAUCAUUACCCAUCAAAUGUUAUCUCCUCUUUAAUCCUUUGCUCAAGCCUUUACUAAUGGUCAGAAAGCAAGCCAUUGUGUAAAGCUGGUUGAUGCUCGCUGUAAUAGAGAGAGACGAUGACUGUUCAGCUUAUGUUGCUUAACCCUGCAGAUGGGAUGCUCAAAGUGGACCCUCAGCCGAGCGAUGGACAC